rnacentral:rRNA from 1 species
AUUGAACGCUGGCGGCAGGCCUAACACAUGCAAGUCGAGCGGAUGAGGAAAGCUUGCUUUUCGAUUCAGCGGCGGACGGGUGAGUAAUGCCUAGGAAUCUGCCUGUUAGUGGGGGAUAACUCGGGGAAACUCGGGCUAAUACCGCAUACGUCCUACGGGAGAAAGUGGGGGAUCUUCGGACCUCACGCUAACAGAUGAGCCUAGGUCGGAUUAGCUAGUAGGUGAGGUAAUGGCUCACCUAGGCGACGAUCCGUAACUGGUCUGAGAGGAUGAUCGGUCACACUGGAACUGAGACACGGUCCAGGCUCCUACGGGAGGCAGCAGUGGGGAAUAUUGGACAAUGGGGGGAACCCUGAUCCAGCGAGGCCGCGUGAGUGAAGAAGGCCUUCGGGUCGUAAAGCUCUUUAGGUUGGGAAGAAGGGUGAAUGGUGAAUAGCCAUUUAUUUUGACGGUACCGACAGAAUAAGCACCGGCAAACUCUGUGCCAGCCGCCGCUGUAACAC